rnacentral:tRNA from 1 species
AGACUGGUAGCUUAAAGGUAAAGCAUGUUGCUCAUAACAAUAGAGAAGUUGGUUCGAUUCCAUCUCAGUCUA